rnacentral:misc_RNA from 1 species
GAUGAAGAACGUAGCGAAAUGCGAUAAGUAAUGUGAAUUGCAGAAUUCAGUGAAUCAUCGAUCUUUGAACGCACAUUGCGCCCGCCAGUAUUCUGGCGGGCAUGCCUGUUCGAGCGUCAUUUCAACCAUCAAGCCCCCGGGCUUGUGUUGGGGACCUGCGGCUGCCGCAGGCCCUGAAAACCAGUGGCGGGCUCGCUAGUCACUCCGAGCGUAGUAGUUACAUCUCGCUCAGGGCGUGCUGCGGGUUCCGGCCGUUAAAAGCCUUUUACCCCAAGGUUGACCUCGGAUCAGGUAGGAAGACCCGCUGAACUUAAGCAUAUCAAUAAGCGGAGGA